rnacentral:lncRNA from 1 species
ACUAGCCCGUCAAUCUAUACUUCCGUAUGAGCUAAUAAUUGGACAUAUUUAUUAGAUGGAGAAAGUUCAUUUUUGACCAUCCAACUAUGGUCUCGGUUUGGUUUCAACCAUCAAACUCGAAAAAUAGGAAUCUUUGAUCACCCAACUAUUAAAAUCAUUCACAUUUGACCAUUUAACGGUUUUGAUUGGUGUUUUCGUUGACAUGGACGACACGUGAAAGUAGGACCCACACACCAGUGUUAUCUUCUUCCCCUCACUCCCCCCCUUUUCUCUCCCUUUCUCUAGCUCACCACUAAGGCUCCUCCGCACCAAGCUACUUCGUGCCCGAUCUCAAGGCCAGAGGAGUCCAUGGGAGGAGUUCUGCCUGCAGUCCGAGUGUUGGGGUGGAAAAGAGAGAGGAGGGAAAGAUCGAGGUCUGCAGGCCGGAGCUAGAGCCGGCCCUGGGGGAGGGCAAGGGGGCGGCUGCCCCAGGCCCCUAAAUCCCAGGGGGCCCACCCCAAGUGGCCAGGUCAAAUGACGGGAGAUAGACAGGUACCUUGGAGAUAGACGGGAUUAGGAAGGAUCGCAAUUAGAAUUUAGAAACGCGAGUACACGAUGUCCAGGGGCCGCCGCCAGGGCCAUAUCGCGAUUAGAAUUUAGAACUACGUACUCUCGACCGCCACCAGGGACCAGGGCCGCCACCGUGUCGUGCGCGUCGACGAGCGGCUGUUGGACUGUGCGACGGACAUCUGCGUCGGCAUCCAGGUAUGGUACUCAUCGC